rnacentral:rRNA from 1 species
AUUGAACGCUGGCGGCAGGCCUAACACAUGCAAGUCGAGCGGCAGAAGAGAGCUUGCUCCUUCAUUCAGCUGCCGACUGGUGGGUGAUUCCUAGGAAUAUCCCUAUUUGUUUUUUAUAAGGGCCUGAAACGGGCGCUAAUACGCCAUUCGUCCUUACGGAGUACGGGUGGGAGCUUCGGACCUCACGCUAUCGCAUGAGCCUAGGUCGGAUUGUCUAGUUGGUGGGGUAAAGGCCUACCAAGGCGACGAUCCGUAACUGGUCUGAGAGGAUGAUCAGUCACACUGGAACUGAGACACGGUCCAGACUCCUACGGGAGGCAGCAGUGGGGAAUAUUGGACAAUGGGCGCAAGCCUGAUCCAGCCAUGCCGCGUGUGUGAAGAAGGUCUUCGGAUUGUAAAGCACUUUAAGUUGGGAGGAAGGGCAGUAAGUUAAUACCUUGCUGUUUUGACGUUACCAACAGAAUAAGCACCGGCUAACUUCGUG